GGAGACCCCUGUUCCCCUCACAGAGCUACAAUUUAGAGUAGUUUAUCAAUCAAUCCUUCUUCCCAAGAAACUCUGGGAAUUGUAGCUCUGUGAGGGGAAUAGGAAUUUG